rnacentral:lncRNA from 1 species
GCCUUUGACGUGGUUGCAGCCACCACCGGAAGACGGCAAACGGUUAGAAAGACGCGACGGUGAGGAAGAUGAGCCUCAUUAUCGACUGUCACCCACAGCCCUGCACAGUGUGAGGCAAACCACAAGUCAUCAGUGUCACAGCAAAACAAAAACAGACACACAACAGAAGAAACCACGCUGGUGAGGUCAGCAGGGGACAGGGAGACCCUCCCUGCAGGAGCUGCUGCUAGAGGGAAAGGCAGCGUUGGAUCCGAUGCCGGCCCCAGCCUGGGAGACCUGCUUCCUCUGCGGCCUGUGUUCAGGAGCGAAGUGUUGAGACCAGAAUUGUUCGGAUGCAGGGCUGGUCCCUGUUGAUUUAUGACUCAGGCAAACAGUCCAUUCAUCCGUCCGCGGCUCCACUUCUAUCCCCAGCUUACUGGAGGCAGAAGAAUGUCCCCGGGAAGUGGUCUGAGCUGCUUCCUGUGGUCGCCCCAUUGCUCGGGGUGGGGGAUCCUAUUUUUAGAGGGCCACCAUUGCUAUGAAGGUCCAGCCAGCUCAUCGGCACCGUGUGGCAUGGUGGGACGCAGCACUGAAAUUCGAGGGGGAGCUGGGCAUUCAUAGGUGUUUCUUACAAAUGAGAAAGGCCCUGAUUCUAAGGCUCCAUUUCCUCCUCUGUAGGUGGAAGAUAGCGGAGACUAUGCAGGGAGGCUCAGCUGCACCUGACACACAACAGAGGUUCUCCAGGAACAGGAGAUGAAUGAGUACAAAAUCAAAGAGGCACACUUGCCAGCUUCCUCUUUCUACGUCGUCCUGGGCAUAUCCAGCCUUCAUCAUGAAGUCGUGUCUAUUUUCCACUUGCACACUUUCCUGGAAGACUCUUGGACAGCGUAUCAAGAUCUCUCAUUUUCUGGCUUGAACUCACUGCAGACUCAUCUUGUGGCAAGGCUCACCACCCACCAUGCCGGGCCUUGUCAGUGCCCUGGGGCAGCGUGGAUGGGCCGCCCACGCUUUCAACUAACAGACGGCAGCAAAGGCCAUCACCUCCUUCUGAAGGAAUCAGAAGUUGGAACCAGGCCAGUGUAGGGUGGGACCAGAACUGAUGCCUGAACACAUGACCACAGACUGUCCUUGCUGUUGGAGAGCUGGGGACUGCGCCAUAGGAGGCUGUGUGGUUAUCGCCUAUGAGCCCCCAAGACCUUCAUUUCCUCAUCUGCCUUUACUUUGUGUCUCCUCUGAACGUGAUCCUGUGUUCUGGGUUUUUUUUUUUUUUUUUUUUUGAAAUGGCAGCAUUUCAAAUAUGCUGUUUUUUACCAUCAAUCAUUUCUUGCCAGCUGGGUGCAGCGGGUGACACCUGUUAUCCCAGCACUUUGGGAGGGUUGGGGGGGGGGGUGGAUCACAAGGUCAAGAGUUCGAGACCAGCCUGGCCAACAUGGUGAAACCCCGUCUCUACUAAAAAUACAAACAUUAGCCAGGCGUGGUGGCCCGUGCCUGUAGUUCCAGCUACUCGGGAGGCUGAGUUACACGACUUGCUUGAACCCAGGAGGUGGAGGUUGCAGUGAGCCAAGAUUGUUCCACUGCACUCCAGCCUGGGUGAUAGAAUGAGAAUCUGUCUCAAAAAAAGAAAAAAAAAAAAGAAAAAAUGUUUCUUGCCUUGGUUUGAGUUGCCAGAAGCAAACUCUCGAUCAAGGGUUCGUGUAUCUGGGAGGUGAUCCCUGGCCACGCCUGUAGGAGGGUGGGAGGGGAGGCAUGGAAGGGAAGGGCCCAUUGAGGGCAUGUGAUCCCAACCAGCGCCAUUCAGGGCAUUUGGACCCAAAUCCCACUGGGGGCCCUGGACAACAGUUACCCCAGCUCCCUUCAGUCAGUGGCCGAGAGAUGUUCAGGGACAGCUGUGGCUGGGACCUGAUGAUCCACCAGCUCUGGGGCAAGGCACAGUCAGGCACAUUGAUGCCUCCUGGGCUCCAAGGGGCACCGUAGGAGGCUCAGGUGGUUGGGGGUGCUCCCAGGACAGAGGUGAGUGCUCCCAGGAGCAUGGAGGGGUGGGACUUUGAGAGUUACGCCAGGAAUCUGGGCAGGGAUCCUGCACGCCAAGGUGAGAGAAGCCAGAGCAGUACCAGGACCCAAGCCUCCUCUGGUGCCAGGCCCUGGCUGCACUACUCCUGUUCCCGCUCCUGUGCCCCUGCGAGGAGGACAUGCUGUUUACUGCUACUUGAGGCUCAAAGAGGGUAUCUAUGACCUGUCAGUGAACGGACCAGAGUAUAGGGAAGUGGAUGGGAGAGGGGCUGGAGGGGCAGGGCAGCUGCUGAGGGGCCUUGCUUGUCAUGGUAAGUGCCACUGUGUGAUGCUGGGUCCUGGACUCUGAAAGCCAGGGAGAAACACUUGCCUGGACUUUAUCCUAUAGGUGGGCAGUAUCCACCGAGGGCUUUGUUCAGAGCAUAGAGUGAUAAAAACUGGGCUUUGGGCCAGCAGAAGGCCGUGAAUGAGGUUCCCAUCACCUGUGCCCUACCUCGCCUUGGCUGUCCACUGGUCAAUCGCCUCCUGGGGCUGUCCCCACAGAACUCUGCCAGCAUCCCUGGCAAGCAUGUGUUUGGCAUGGGCUCGUGGCCAGGUGUGCUUGUGUACACAUGUGUGAGCAGUGAUGCAUAUCAGAGCCCCUGAGAUGCAUAUUUUCUUCAAGAUCAGAUACAGAGAUGUGAACUCACAGAGCUCCGUGGGGAGCAGGGAGGGGACUGAACAUGAGUGAUAUUAGCCAAACCCAACUCCCACUUUAUUUUUUCAUGCCUGCAAAUAAUAAUACCUUUUCAGUCUUGUGAAACCUGGUACUCUAGGAAAAAGACACAGAGGUUUAAGAAGCCCUGAGUACGGUUUUGGCCAAGCACCCCUUCCUAGAUUCCUCUCCAGCAUUCUGAGACUUGGAGAGAAGAGAGGGAGAAGGCUCCAGCUGUCAUUCUCUGUAUUGUCCAUUUCUUCUCCCCGGUUCCACAUUCAUUCCCUAACAUCCCUCUGCAAGUUGCUUUUCAUUUAAACACCGCACGUAAAAGCACAGUGUCUGGUUUGGGUAGCACAGGUCGUCUAUUGCAAAAGGAUGUCUAAGAGGGAUGACUAGAGUGUGCUUUGGGGGAUUUGCCAAGGGGGCCUGAAACCAAGGAACAGAUACAAAGCCUGUGGGACCUGUGAAGCCCUAAGCUGGAAACAGCAGUUAGGGGAGAAAGAUCUUUGAUAUAUUCCAAUCAGACCAAGUCAAGAUGAGCUCAAAGUCACGUCUUGAUACAUGUCUGAAAAGACAAAAGUCUGUCUUUAAUCCUGUAUCUUUCUCUGUUAAAACUUUUCUUAUUUGUUUAUUUAUUUAUUUAUUAGACGGAGUCUUGCUUUGUCACCCAGGCUGGAGCGCAGUGGCACAAUCUCGGCUCACGGCAACCUCUACCUCUCGGGUUCAAGCAAUUCUCCUGCUUCAGCCUCCUGAGUAGCUGAGAUUAUAGGUGUGCAUCACCACGCCUGGCUAAUUUUUUCUUUUCUUUUUUUGUAUUUUCAGUAGAGACAGAGUUUUGCCAUGCUGGCCAGGCUGGUCUCAAACUCCUGACCUCAAGUGAUCUGCCCACCUCGGUCUCCUAAAGUGCUGAGAUUAUAGGUGUGAGCCACCGUGCCAUGCCCAGCCUUCUCCUUUAUUUUAAAGCAACUCCUUUUCCCUACAUCCUUGGCCCUCCCCACCAUCCACCCAUCUGUGACCUUGUGGACCCUUAGCUCCCCUGCUCCACCAAAACUUAUUCAAAGGAAAAAGAAAGAAAAAGAAAAAAAUGGAUGUCAGUCAUUUACAUGUUAGUAUACAUAAGCUAUGGAAGCUAUGGAAGGAUUCCGUCUCUGGGCUGAGCUUGGCCUUUUGGUACCAGUUGUUUCAGGGCUUGACCCAGCAGGUGAGCUGUAGCUGAGCCUGUCUAUAGCUGUGUUGGCUCCUGCCUGGGGUAGAUGUAAACACUUUUUCAGUUGCAAACUCAUCAAAGGUGUUUGUGCACACAUGUGUGCAUGUGCGUUGUGUCCACGCCUGUGUGCCUGAAACCCUGCCCGGGUCGCCCUCCAGAAAGGAAGCAAGUGUGCAUUCACACAUUGGAACAAGCCAGCCAUGUCUCUCCGUAACAGGAGAGGAAGCGGGGACUCCAGCAUGUUUUUUUUAAAUGGUAGUGGGCACUGACUCAAAGAUGCCUGUUAAGAAAAACUCCAUGUUCAUCUCUCUGCUGACUCGUUUGGUGAGAAUUACAAACCCAGAUGCCAACAUGUGGCCAACCGCAUGACCCUGCACUGAGGAAUAAAAGACAGGAUCAUCUGAGUUCUUAUGUGAACAAACAACAGAGAUUCAGUUACAUUUUCUCUCCGUGUUUUUUUUUUUUUUAUGUCAGGGAUUUCAGCAGCUCCAGAUUAGGCAUUCUGUGUGACACUCUUGUGUCAGCAGCUCCAGAUUGGAGGGAAGAGGCCACACGCUGGCACCUCUGUG